rnacentral:lncRNA from 1 species
AUUGUGUCUCAGAAGGUUAAAAAUCCUGCCUUUGGGAGUUCCCAUUGUGACUCAGUGGUAACGAACUCAGCUAGUAUCCAUGAGAACACAGGUUUAAUCUCUGGCCUCGCUCAGUAGGUUAGGGAUCCAGUGUUGCUGUGAGCUGCAGUGUAGGUUGCACACUCAGCUGGGAUUUGGCAUUGCUGUGGCUGUGGCAUAGACUGGCAGCUGCAGCUCCGAUACCAUCCCUAGCCUGGGAAUUUCCAUAUGGCAUAAUACCUGAAACCCUAAAAAGACAAAAAAAAAAAAAAACCAAAAAAGAAAAAAGAAAAGAAAAUCCUGCCUCAUAUCUGGGUGGCACAGGUUCCAUCCCUGGCCUGGUACAGUGGGUUAAGGAUCCAGCAUUGCCACAGCUGAGGCACAGGUCACAGCUGUGGCUUGGAUUCAGUCCCUGACUUGGAAACUUCCAAAUGCUGCAAGCAAGGCAAAAAACAAACCAACAAACAAAACACCUUAAAAUGGAUUCAUUUCAGGUGUUCCUGUUGUGGCAGAGUGGAAAUGAAUCUGACUAGUAUCCAUGAGGAUGAAGGUUCGAUGCCUGGCCUCAAUCAUUGGCUUAAGGAUCCGGCUUUGCCAUGAGCUGUGGUGUAGGUCACAGACGCUACUUGGAUCCCGAGUUGCUGUGGCUGUGGCGAAGGCCGGCAAUUUGACCCCUAGCCUGGAACCUUCAUAUGUGGGAGGAGUGGCCCUAAAAAAAAAAGGAUUCAUUUCACUGUAUGUAAAUUACACCCCAAUAAUUUAAAAUAUUAUUUAAAUUAUCAUCAUGAGAAAAAUUAGAACUAUGUGGACCUCCUUUAUAAGUACUUUCUGAUUUAUCAAUUGUUUUUAUUUAUUGUUGGGGGAAAGCAGCCAUAAUCUUGGGACCUCCGAAGGCCUUAAUUCAGCCCUGGACGGCUCGUCAGGCUCAGUUACCAGAGUCUUGAAUGCCAAGUAUAGUGAUCUAUGAAUUAUUUUACACUCUUCUCUUCAAGAGGCAGAGUGUAAUUCCCCUCUCCUGAGUGUGGGCUGGACUUAGCAACAUUCUUCAAACACUAGAAUAAAGCAGAAGUGAAGGUAUAAGAUUUCAAACACCAGGUCACCAAAGGCACUGCAGGGCAUUCUCUCUCUCACUAUUUGUCUCUCCUCUUUCAUCACUUCCUCUGGCGGAAGCCAGCUGCCAUGUUCUGAGACCCUUCCGUAACCCUCUGGAGAGCCCACGCGGUGAGGAACCGAGGCCUCCCGCCAACAGCCAUGCCGGUGCGCCAUCUUGGAAGCAGUGCCCCCUCCUUAGCCGAGUCUUCAGAGCACCACAGCCCAGCCAUCCAUUUGACCACACAUCCUGAGAGAACCAGAGCCAGAACCACCCAGCCAGGCUGCUCCUGGAUUUUGGACUCCUGGAAACGACGUGAGAGAAUAAACAUUUGUUUUAAGCUGCUUAGCUCAAAGGUCAUUUGUUAUGUUGUAGAAGAUAAUGUACCAAGUUAAGGAGUUCGGCUGUCUCCUAGGGGCAUUGAGGAGUCCCAGAACGUGUUAGAGAAAGGGAGUGGCGUGGAAGGGGCCAAACUUAGGAAGAAGUCUCUUGGUCCCAGGGUGGAGAAGGAACUAGAAGUCACGGGGUCCAGAGAACAGCAGCUAGAGGCAGAGACGCUGGAGCUGGGUUUCUG